CUAGAAUCCACCCCAGUGCCACACAGUUCCUCUAACCUCUGCUAUUAUGUUAGAAAGGAGGCCUUGACUUCAAUAAAUAGAGGCUUCUCCAAAUCCUGGAGCCCUAAUUAUGCAGAGUUAAGUACUUGGAGAAGUCUCCACUCAAAAAUUUAUUCAUUAAACCUUCCAUGCUCUAAUUGUGCUUGAUGCCAAGAGGUGACAUGUGACCUGCUCUGGAAAGGAUAUUGAGCUUCAUUCAAUGGGCUGCUGAAUUUGAAAAAUUUUUGGAUGCAAAUGCAAAUGCUGUGACCAUCACCCAGUAUGUCAGUGGUGGUAAUCAGCCGGAUCAGGCUGGUUCGGGGGAACCGGUAGUAGCCACCUGCA